rnacentral:rRNA from 1 species
AUAACGGUCCUAAGGUAGCGAAAUUCCUUGUCGGGUAAGUUCCGACCCGCACGAAUGGCGUAACGAUGGCCACACUGUCUCCUCCCGAGACUCAGCGAAGUUGAAAUGGUUGUGAAGAUGCAAUCUCCCCGCUGCUAGACGGAAAGACCCCGUGAACCUUUACUGUAGCUUUGCAUUGGACUUUGAAGUCACUUGUGUAGGAUAGGUGGGAGGCUUUGAAGCAGAGACGCCAGUCUCUGUGGAGCCGUCCUUGAAAUACCACCCUGGUGUCUUUGAGGUUCUAACCCAGACCCGUAAUCCGGGUCGGGGACCGUGCAUGGUAGGCAGUUUGACUGGGGCGGUCUCCUCCCAAAGAGUAACGGAGGAGUUCGAAGGUUACCUAGGUCCGGUCGGAAAUCGGACUGAUAGUGCAAUGGCAAAAGGUAGCUUAACUGCGAGACCGACAAGUCGAGCAGGUGCGAAAGCAGGACAUAGUGAUCCGGUGGUUCUGUAUGGAAGGGCCAUCGCUCAACGGAUAAAAGGUACUCCGGGGAUAACAGGCUGAUUCCGCCCAAGAGUUCAUAUCGACGGCGGAGUUUGGCACCUCGAUGUCGGCUCAUCACAUCCUGGGGCUGUAGUCGGUCCCAAGGGUAUGGCUGUUCGCCAUUUAAAGUGGUACGUGAGCUGGGUUUAAAACGUCGUGAGACAGUUUGGUCCCUAUCUGCAGUGGGCGUUGGAAGUUUGACGGGGGCUGCUCCUAGUACGAGAGGACCGGAGUGGACGAACCUCUGGUGUACCGGUUGUAACGCCAGUUGCAUAGCCGGGUAGCUAAGUUCGGAAGAGAUAAGCGCUGAAAGCAUCUAAGCGCGAAACUCGCCUGAAGAUGAGACUUCCCUUGUGGUUUAACCACACUAAAGAGUCGUUCGAGACCAGGACGUUGAUAGGUGGGGUGUGGAAGCGCGGUAACGCGUGAAGCUAACCCAUACUAAUUGCUCGUGAGGCUUGACUCU